rnacentral:rRNA from 1 species
CAGAGCGAACGUUUGCGGCGGGCCUAACACAUGCAAGUCGAACGCACUAGCAAUAGUGAGUGGCGCACGGGUGCGUAACACGUGGGUAAUCAACCCUUCAGCUUGGGAUAACGACUUGAAAGGGUCGCUAAUACCGGAUACGGCGCGGGAGGCUUCGGCUUCUCACGAGAAAGCCUCGCAAGGGGCACUGAAGGACGAGCCUGCGGCCCAUCAGCUAGUUGGUGAGGUAAGAGCUCACCAAGGCGAAGACGGGUAGCUGGUCUGAGAGGAUGAUCAGCCACACUGGAACUGAGACACGGUCCAGACUCCUACGGGAGGCAGCAGUGGGGAAUAUUGCGCAAUGGGCGAAAGCCUGACGCAGCCACGCCGCGUGAGCGAUGAAGGCCUUCGGGUCGUAAAGCUCUGUGGGGAGAGACGAAGAAAGCCCGUGAAGAGCGGGCCUUGACGGUAUCUCCUUAGCAAGCACCGGCUAACUCCGUG